GGCUCCAUAGUGUAGUGGUUAGCACAUCUGCUUUACACGCAGAAGGUCCUGGGUUCGCACCCCAGGUGGAGCCA
rnacentral:tRNA from 1 species